CCUACGGGAGGCAGCAGUGGGGAAUAUUGGACAAUGGGGGCAAGCCUGAUCCAGCCAUGCCGCGUGAGUGAUGAAGGCCUUAGGGUUGUAAAGCUCUUUCAGUAGGGAAGAUAAUGACGGUACCUACAGAAGAAGCCCCGGCUAACUUCGUGCCAGCAGCCGCGGUAAU
rnacentral:rRNA from 1 species